rnacentral:rRNA from 1 species
GUGGGGAAUAUUGGACAAUGGGGGCAACCCUGAUCCAGCAAUGCCGCGUGAGUGAUGAAGGCCUUCGGGUUGUAAAGCUCUUUUGGCGGGGACGAUGAUGACGGUACCCGCAGAAUAAGCCCCGGCUAACUUCGUGCCAGCAGCCGCGGUAAUACGAAGGGGGCUAGCGUUGUUCGGAUUUACUGGGCGUAAAGCGCACGUAGGCGGAUCGUUAAGUCGGGGGUGAAAUCCUGGAGCUCAACUCCAGAACUGCCUUCGAUACUGGCGAUCUUGAGUCCGGAAGAGGUGAGUGGAACUCCUAGUGUAGAGGUGGAAUUCGUAGAUAUUAGGAAGAACACCAGUGGCGAAGGCGGCUCACUGGUCCGGUACUGACGCUGAGGUGCGAAAGCGUGGGGAGCAAA